rnacentral:rRNA from 1 species
GAUGAACGCUGGCGGCGUGCUUAACACGAUGCAAGUCGAACGGAGAAAGGGUAGCUUGCUACUUUUCUUAGUGGCGGACGGGUGAGUAACGCGUGGGUAACCUGCCCUUUGCAGGGGGAUAACAGUGAGAAAUCACUAGCUAAUACCGCAUACCAACUUCUUUCGCAUGAAGGAAGUUUGAAAGAUUUAAUCGGCAAAGGAUGGACCCGCGUUGGAUUAGCUAGUUGGUGAGAUAACAGCCCACCAAGGCAACGGAUCCAUAGCCGGCCUCGAGAGGGUGAACGGCCACACUGGGACUGAGACACGGCCCAGACUCCUACGGGAGGCAGCAGUGGGGAAUAUUGCACAAUGGGCGAAAGCCUGAUGCAGCGACGCCGCGUGAAGGAUGAAGGUCUUCGGAUUGUAAACUUUCUAUCAGCAGGGAAGAAAGGGCUUAUAGCCUAUGACGGUACCUGACUAAGAAGCCCCGGCUAACUACGUG